UUUCUUUGGGCACAAGGCAAAAAGGCGCCCCAGGGCAAGAACUCGGGAGGGCGGCGUCGGCUCGCGAAAAAGGGAAAACAAAAACGGCGCUCCUUUGAAACGGCUCCGCGAUCUCUCCUCCUCCGCGACUUCUUCUUGGUCUCGAGAGGGAAAGUUAGGGGUCUCUCCUCUCCUCCGUUUUCUCUCAGAGCUUGGCCCUGUUUUAAAGCGAUGGAUUCGAGGGAGAUCGCUCGUCCCAAGGUCCCCGCCUUCGAUCGAACCGAGAUCAAUUGGGACAAGCUUGACAAAACUAAGUUGUAUGUCGUAGGAGCUGGCCUCUUUACUGGUGUUACUGUGGCCCUGUAUCCCAUCUCUGUCAUAAAGACCAGGAUGCAGGUUGCUUCAAAAGAUGCUGCACAGAAGAACGCAUUUGCCGCCAUGAGAAAUAUUCUCAAAGUUGAUGGUAUUCCAGGCUUAUAUAGGGGGUUUGGCACAGUUAUUACUGGUGCUGUUCCUGCCAGGAUCGUUUUCCUCACUUCUUUGGAAACGACAAAAGCGGCUUCACUCAAGCUGGUCGAACCAUUUAAGCUCUCUGAACCAGUACAGGCUGCCAUCGCAAAUGGCAUUGCGGGCAUGGCAGCGUCUCUUUGUUCUCAGGCUGUGUUUGUUCCUAUUGAUGUGGUUAGCCAAAAGUUGAUGGUGCAAGGAUACUCAGGUUAUGCAAAGUAUAAUGGUGGACUGGAUGUUGCUCGUAAGAUUGUGAAGUCGGAUGGAGUCAAGGGUUUUUACAGAGGAUUUGGCUUGUCUGUUAUGACAUAUUCCCCGUCUAGUGCUGUAUGGUGGGCAAGUUAUGGAUCCAGUCAACGUAUAAUCUGGAGGCUCUUAGGCCAUGGGAAUGAUACGGAAACUGUUCCUAGCCAGCAAAAAAUAAUGUGCGUUCAAGCUACAGGUGGAGUUGUUGCUGGUGCGGUGGCAUCUUGUAUCACAACCCCUUUAGACACGAUCAAGACUCGAUUGCAGGUUAUGGAUAAUAAACAGAGACAAACUGCAAGACAAGUUGUCAAAAGAUUGAUUGCUGAAGAUGGAUGGAAAGGGUUCUACAGAGGAUUAGGUCCAAGGUUUUUCAGCAUGUCAGCAUGGGGUACCACGAUGAUAGUAGCAUAUGAAUAUCUGAAGCGGCUGUGUGCAAAAAGUGAAGAGAUUUGAUUUCUAUAUUCUACCAUUCGAAGCAGAUUUGCAAAACUGCAACAGUUUCCAUAAAUACCAUAAUCCAUAUUUGCAGUGAAGUGUAAAUCAGGGAGCCUAUUAUUCACGCUGAGAAGCCCCAUGAAGUGGUCGCCUGGACAGUCAGUGGCUCGGGUCGUUUCAGCUUCUCCUCAGUAUUUUGAGGAGAGAUGAUAUGAUUCAUUAUAUUUGAGAUCACUUUUUAUAGAACAGUUAUUAAAACAGGUUGCCACUUUUGUUAUUUGAAACUCACCAUCAAUUCUGCAGGCAAAUUUGUUGCUGGGCUCGCCAGCAAAUGAUGUACAGAAAACAUAUCUCACAGUCUGUAGCAUAUCUUCUCCCGGUUCAAUGGAAACUCGUUGUUUCCACCAUGCUAUGGAUGGAAACUGCACCUGUAGAUUUGAUGUCUAAAACUCUAGUGUUGGUAUGCUUCACGCAUUCAUCAGCAUGUGUAGUCAUUUGGAGGCUUGCAUGAAACAUUCGUGGGGUCUGGAAAUUGAUAACUGAGACAAUUGUAAAUGAUUUAACAUUCAUUUAGGUGCCCCUGAAAAAACAAUCUUUCCUUGCAUUCAUA